rnacentral:lncRNA from 1 species
UUUUUACAUGUUUGAGUGUUUCUAUUGAGUCUUAUUUCAAACUUUUAUUUUCUUAGUCUUUUUAAAGUUUUGUCUACAACAUCUCUUUUCCUUAAUGUAUGAAUUCUUAUUUUGUAUUUUUCUUGUUUGUCUUAGGAUAUUCUUAAGUUUUGUCUUUGUGGUUUUUCUUCCUUGAACUUUUUUAAGUGAUUGGUUGGUGUGCAUAUUUCCAUUCGAUUGCAAAUUUUCCAAGAUUUUGGACUUGAGGAAUUUGAACAUUCUUGAAUUUUGGCUUGACAGUUUCAAUGAUCCCACCCUUGAAAAUUUGGUUAGUUGACUAAACAAUUUGAGAGUUUAUUUGUUUUCUUAUUUUAAU